rnacentral:rRNA from 3 species
UAGUGGCGAACGGGUGAGUAACACGUGGGCAAUCUGCCCUGCACUCUGGGACAAGCCCUGGAAACGGGGUCUAAUACCGGAUACGAGCCUCCCGGGCAUCUGGGAGGUUGGAAAGCUCCGGCGGUGCAGGAUGAGCCCGCGGCCUAUCAGCUUGUUGGUGAGGUAACGGCUCACCAAGGCGACGACGGGUAGCCGGCCUGAGAGGGCGACCGGCCACACUGGGACUGAGACACGGCCCAGACUCCUACGGGAGGCAGCAGUGGGGAAUAUUGCACAAUGGGCGCAAGCCUGAUGCAGCGACGCCGCGUGAGGGAUGACGGCCUUCGGGUUGUAAACCUCUUUCAGCAGGGAAGAAGCGAGAGUGACGGUACCUGCAGAAGAAGCGCCGGCUAACUACGUGCCAGCAGCCGCGGUAAUACGUAGGGCGCAAGCGUUGUCCGGAAUUAUUGGGCGUAAAGAGCUCGUAGGCGGCUUGUCGCGUCGAUUGUGAAAGCCCGGGGCUUAACUCCGGGUCUGCAGUCGAUACGGGCAGGCUAGAGUGUGGUAGGGGAGAUCGGAAUUCCU